CACGUAGGGCGCAAGCGUUGUCCGGAAUUAUUGGGCGUAAAGAGCUCGUAGGCGGACUGUCACGUCUGCUGUGAAAAGCUAGGGCUUAACCCUGGCCUUGCAGUGGAUACGGGCAGACUAGAGGUAGGUAGGGGAGAAUGGAAUUCCCGGUGUAGCGGUGAAAUGCGCAGAUAUCGGGAGGAACACCGGUGGCGAAGGCGGUUCUCUGGGCCUGUACUGACGCUGAGGAGCGAAAGCGUGGGGAGCGAACAGG
rnacentral:rRNA from 1 species